rnacentral:rRNA from 1 species
ACUCCUACGGGAGGCAGCAGUGGGGAAUAUUGCACAAUGGGCGCAAGCCUGAUGCAGCCAUGCCGCGUGUAUGAAGAAGGCCUUCGGGUUGUAAAGUACUUUCAGCAGUGAGGAAGGUGGAUAUGUUAAUAGCAUAUUCAUUUGACGUUAGCUGCAGAAGAAGCACCGGCUAACUCCGUGCCAGCAGCCGCGGUAAUACGGAGGGUGCGAGCGUUAAUCGGAAUUACUGGGCGUAAAGCGCAUGCAGGUGGUUUGUUAAGUCAGAUGUGAAAGCCCGGGGCUCAACCUCGGAAUUGCAUUUGAAACUGGCAAACUAGAGUACUGUAGAGGGGGGUAGAAUUUCAGGUGUAGCGGUGAAAUGCGUAGAGAUCUGAAGGAUACCGGUGGCGAAGGCGGCCCCCUGGACAGAUACUGACACUCAGAUGCGAAAGCGUGGGGAGCAAACAGGAUUAGAUCCCCUGGUAGGCUCUGC